GCAAAGCGGGAUGAAUCACUUUUGUGGCGAUAUUUUCUUCCUGUUUGUGAAAGAAAUAUAAAUAUGUUAGUCGUGAGUGUGGACUGUAAUGAUUAAAAAAAUCGAACAAUCAGACACAUCGCCAGGACAGAAUGGUUUUUUGGAUAUUUUGUGUGCUCUGCUUUGCUCGAUCAUGUAUGGGAGUUUUUAUGGACGGGUUGGACUGCAGUCUAGACUGUGUGUGCUGUAAGGGAGGAGUAGAUCGAUGUGUGUAUGAGUCUAGAUUUGGAGACAAAUUUUGUUUUGAUGGCUGUGUUGACGGCAUAUAUGGGUUUAGAUGUCACAAUCCCUGUCCCGGUAACUGUUCUUUGUGUGCACAAGAUACAAGCAGACCAUGUUACAGCUGCAAGGCUACAUUUUAUGAUAAAAACAGUGAGUGUAGCAAGAGCUGUUCAGUCGGGUGUUUUUGGGGUGACUGUAAUGAUGAUGGAAAAUGUAGUCCAUGUACAGUAAACUUCGAAGGAACAAGCUGUGAGACGUGCAUACAAGGAAAGUAUGGUUCAAGUUGUACACAAUUUUGCAUUAAUCAGAGCUGCCGAUGUUCGAAUGGAACUGAUUGUACUUCUUGUAAAACGGGUUUCUACGACAGUAAUACCUUCUGUCAAACAGCUUGUUCCCCGGGAUGUCAGGAUGGCGUUUGUAAUGAUGACGGAAGUUGCAAUUGUCGAGCUGAGUUCAUGGGAAAUACAUGCAGUGAAUGUCAAUCAGGAUAUUAUGGGGCAUACUGCAAUGUUUCAUGUUCUGUAGGAUGUGUAAAUGGACUGUGCUCAAAAGAUGGUUCUUGUGAAUGUCACCCAAACUUUGUUACAACGAAAUGUGAUACGUGUGCGGAUGAAAGAUACGGUGAUAACUGUAACGAGAUUUGCAGCGUAGGAUGUAUUACAUCGUCCUGUGACAGAAGAAAUGGUUUUGUAAAUGUCUUCCUAACUUUUCUGGCGAUCAAUGCGACCAAUGCAAAUCAGGCUUUUUCGAACAAUCAUGUAACUUACAUUGCUCUGAAAAUUGCAAAGCAUACACAUGCACACGAUACCAGGGGAAGUGCACACUUGGUUGUGUUGAAAGUUUUUCGGGUGACAAUUGCACAACGCCUUGUGACAAAACAUGCGCAACAUGUCUACAACAUGAUAAAUCAUACUGCAGUACAUGCCGAAAUGGAUACAGUGGAUCAACCUGUCGAUGUCCACCCAGCUGCAAUUGUGACUCUGCAUCUGAAAUAUGCACUGAAUGUAAAGAUGGGUACACCAACCCUGAAAAGGAAUGCAAGUGUCAGGCACAAUAUUGCAUCGGAACCAAGUGUGAUCAAUGUAUUAACCAAACGUUUUAUGUUGAUAACAGCGCGUGCUGUGAUUGUCCGAAUAAUUGCAAAGAUGGUACAUGCGAACGUGGACCUACAUGUACUUCUGGCUGUAUUGACGGAUUUUACGGCUUUGAUUGUUCUCAAAGUUGUUUGUCCCCGAGUGCAGACUGUUUAAGAUGUACUCAGAUGUAUGGUAAGUGUCUCGAAUGUAACGAUGGCUUUUACCCUAACGGCAAUGGAAGCUGCAUGAGCUGCAGCAGUAACUGUAAGAAUGGGCAGUGCAAUACUGAGACUGGCGCAUGUAUCAAUGGAUGCACAGAUAGAUUUUGGGGAGACAAGUGCGAUAUUCCGUGUGAUCCAAAUUGUGAUACUUGUCAACUAGAUUCAGGAAUCUGUUUGUCUUGUAAAAACACAACUUACCAUGGACUUUCUUGUAGCGAAUCAUGUAGCACCUCGUGUUUGGAAAGCAAAUGCGAACAAAAUACUGGUUAUUGUUCCAUUGGUUGCUCCAGAGAUUCUUUUGGAAAUAUGUGUGAUAUUAAAUGCCCUUCAAAUUGUCAGCAAGGGGAUUCAAAAACGAGCUGUAAUAUCGAUGGCGACUGUUUAUAUGGCUGCAUCAAUGACCUUGGAGGGAGAGAUUGUUCAGAAAGACGAAUUUACAUUGGCUCUCCCACAAAUGUUGCAACCGCAGCUUUAUCUGGAGUUUUUGGCAUUUUACUUAUUUGUACUGCUGCUGGUUGCUAUCUGUGGAACAGACGAAGGUCAUCACCAACAGUUUCAGAACAGGAAAAUCAGCGUGAAACCGUAAUGACCUACGAACAGCUUCAAAGACAGGCAAACGAACCAACAUACAAGAAUGUUGACGAAAAUUAUUCUGUUCUUUCAACGUAGAUGUUCGAAACACUGUGUCAUUUUUAUGCGAUUAGAGAUGUUGCGACAGUUUUGAAACAAGAACAUAAUCAGGUUUAUGUUGACAUCUCAUACUUGUAGAUAUAAUGAAGUCCUUAUAUGUAUCGUGUAUUUUUUCAGAACUUUAUAACCAGUUAUUCACCAUUAAUAGUUAUAUAUAUAUAUAUAUAUAUAUAUAUAUAUAUAUAUAUACACACACACACACACACAUGUUUCUGAUGUACAUAAAGCAGUGUUUGUUCGACAUGUCUUGUAUUUUACCCGUAUGCUCUAAGCAGUUGGUAAAUGAUCGGACAUGUGUGAGGUUGAGCGCUCACAAACUGUUUUAAGUAAGCGCCGUGGAUGGUUAACCCAGCAUUUAAACAGGAUCUUGGAUUCAUUUUUAGACUUGUCCAGUAAAAAUACCGUUUGGACGAAUUCAAUUGCCUACCAUAUAUGUUUCAUAUAUUAAAAAGGGUUAUCUAGCACUGUAUUUACGUAAUAGAUUAUGGUUGUAGUCCCGAAAAACAACAACAGAAAAGUAAAAACGUUCGUAAAAUAUUUAUUGUAAAUGAGUUGAGUUUGUAGGCCAAGAAUAUAAAGGAAACAGUUCAGAUUUUAAUUUUAGGGGCAAAGACCGAGCAUUUGCUUUAAAAAACUCGGGGAUGAACGUUGUGCUUCAUUAUCGUUUUUAUAGGUCCAUUGUGUCAGAGGCUGAACAAGUAAAAAACGUUAUAACGUUCACAUUAUUUUCGGAAAAAUGGUGCAACUUAAUUCUAACCUUUAAUGUUUGUAUUGAUUAAAUAAUUCAAUAAAACAAAUCCGUCUUAUUAUCUCGUAACCGACCGGUUAUACAUACUAUACGUAAAUCGUUGUAUGUAAAUUGCGGAAUAGUCCCUAGCUGACAAUAAAAGCAGUACCUAGAAUGAAAAUUACAAAUUGUACAUGUGUUUUCAUAAUAUCAUUACGACCAUUGAUGACUGAUUUUCAUUUUAUUAUUGAUUUGUG